CUGCAGCCAAUACUGACUGAGUUCCCUUCCUCAUGGGGCCCAGGUGCAAUGGCUGCAAAACAAGCAGCUUCCCUGGAGUGAAGCCAGCCUGUUGUUAUGGGUGCCCCUAAAGAACCUUGGAGGACAGUC
rnacentral:snoRNA from 1 species